rnacentral:rRNA from 1 species
AAUCGCUAGUAAUCGCGGAUCAGCAUGCCGCGGUGAAUACGUUCCCGGGCCUUGUACACACCGCCCGUCACACCAUGAGAGUUUGUAACACCCAAAGCCGGUGGGGUAACCUUUUGGAGCCAGCCGUCUAAGGUGGGACAGAUGAUUGGGGUGAAGUCGUAACAAGGUAUC